ACCAGCUCGCUCCGCGCCACGUAGCGCGCGACCCGCGACGGUCCCCGCUUGAAGAGGUAGGCAGGUUACAGCAAAGGGAAGCUCCUCCUCUCUUUACCCGAGUUGCCUCUUUCUGGAAAUUGACAGAAAAUGGGACUCUGGCUGCUUUGAACAAGCUCGCUCAUGAGGCUGCAGUUAAGAUGUUGGCCAGGGCAGCGGUCUCCAUGGGGCUGGAGGGGGGGUCCACGUCUGAGGAGGCUUAGUCACAUGACUGAACAGCCCUGAUCCAGGGGGAGACAAGGCUACACAGGGCUGUGAAUACAGAAGAUCCACGCUGUACUCUUGGUGACCCUCCUCUCUGCCCUGGCACUUUGAACUUUGUGAACUCUAUCAGCAGACUCUCUGACUUCCAGCUGGGCUUAGCCGAUAGAAGUUUCCAGCAGGAGAUUGAAAGGUCACCCUGCUUGGAGGCCCGUGUUUCCUGAGGUUGAUCCAACACGGCACAGUUAAUCUCUGCAGUUCCAGACCUACGUCCAUGCUAACCUCUUCAAGGUUCUGUACCCCCUCAAAGCCUCAUGGAAAACGAACCACCGGCUCUAUCCAUCUUGUCUACACUGGCAGAAAUAAAUUACAUGACAUCUAGGGUUCCAUAAGAGCCCAGUUCUACUGGCUCCAAGGCCAAAGAUUUAUCCUUGACUGUACAUUUGUUUCAAAGAAACUACACUUAUAAAAACAACAUUCAAGAGAUGUAACUGAGAUGCCUAAAAUGCCAGAUUCAUGAUUUAGUUGCUUGGCCCAGUCAGUGCACUGCAAGUGCAGAAAACAAAACAAACAAACACAAAUCUAAAUGAAAGAACACAUUUCUAAAUCAAAUUGCCCACCUGUUUCAAAGUCCUCUUAUACAGGGAGUCAGACAGAAACCAGAAAUACAUCUAGGUGUCACCCGAACUAAACUGAAAUAUUUGCUGUUUUCUCCUUCUGGAAUAUCGCCUGAAAGAGACACCCAUCCUGUUUGAUGUAUGGAUUCAGAGCUGAGAAACCACCAUGGUGUUUAGGGUCCCCCGUGCGUUGGUUCUAUCUACUUGAAGCUUUGGACUUGAACGAUGCCAAGGGAAUCAUUACCAUGGAUGCUACCUUUGGGUGGGGGUUCAGGAAAACACAGAGAGAUGGAAAAAGGCUAAAAUGAUGGGAUAACUGGUCCACUCCAUGGACAUCAUUGAGUUUUAGGGACCAGGCACUGCUUUAGGGUCUGUGUACUGGCUGUGGUUUGAACCUCAUUCCUCUUCAAUGACCCUCUUUCCAUCGUCUUCCAAAGACACUGGACAUUAUUCCCUUCCUGGACUGGUUAAAAGAAAAAACAACAAAGAGACCAGGAGUCAUGGCUGGAACUAGUGCCUAUUUUUCUAGAGCCUCUCCUUGAGCUCCCAGCUACUUCAGAGGCAUUUCCUUCACCCCUGGGGUCUAAAUUCUUAAGCAGCCUAUUCACCUUAGAGGAGGAGCCCUUCUCUUACGGAGACUGGUGAUUUGGACAUCCUAAACUGGUUGAGUCCUGAGUCCUGCCCCUGGGUGUGGUUAGGCCUCAGGAAACCAGGACAACGAGAAGAGAGCUCAUUGGAUUAUAGAGCUUUGUAUGGUAGUCCCCGUAUCUUCAUCUUUGGUGUUGCUUUCUGCAAUUUCAGUUACAUGCUGUCAACCUUGGUCCGGAGGCAAUGAUGUAUCAUCAGGAGAUCAGUAGCAGCCCCACGCUGGGUCACAGCACCCGCACCUCUCACCUCUCACAGCACUUCCCUUUGCAUGUAGGCAUUUUAUCAUCUCGCAUCAUCGUGAGAAGAAGGGCGAGUGCAAUACAAUAGGAGAUUUUGAGAGAGAAGCUAUAUUCACAUAACUUCUAUUACAGUGUAUUAUAAUUUUUCUGUUUUAUAAGUAUUAUUAAUUUCUCACUGUGCCUAAUUUAUAAAUUAAACUCUAUCAUAAGUAUAUAUGUAUAGUAUAGGUAGGGUUCGGUUCCACUAAAGGUUCUGGAAGGUAUGCCCUGAAGAUAAGGGGGGGACCACCAUAUAGUAUUUAUUCUAUUGCUGCUGAUCCUGGGGGCAGCCACCAUGGUGGGGAAGGUGUUCUCAUCUGAUCUAAAGCUCUUCCAUUCAUCGGAAGAGACUAGAGGUCACAGGUUUUCCAUAUUCUCAAGACUUCAAUUUUUGCCCUUGGCCUACCAAUAUUGGAGGAAUGAAGUCCAAUCCCUGAAUUGUUCAGCUGAAGAAAUAGUGGCUCGGGGGUAUGUUUUGUCUGGGGGUACAUAUCUCAUCAAAUCAAUUUGUUGAGCACUUACUGUGUAUAGAUGGUUAAUUUUAUGAGUCAUCUUAGCUGGAGUGUGCGAUCCAGUUGUUUAGUCAAACAUUAGUCUGUGUUUGCCAGAAAGAUAUUUUUUUAAGACAUGAUUAA